AAAAAAACCCACAAAUAUUGCCAAUUAAAUUGUAAAAAGUGACCUGGAAAUAUUCCAGCUGUUACACUGGGAACACUGUUAAUCGGGUUGGGUUACAUGCGUUACUUUGUGCGGGUGUUAUUUUGACUUCAGUGGAUCUCAGAGGUAACUGCUCUCUGCUGUUUGUUGUUCCUGCAGCUCAGAAAGGAACUGCCCACCAGCUUUUUUUUAAACCGAGUGUCUGCGUUUGAAGUAAGCAGGUAUGAAAACAAGAGGGUUGACUCGAUGUAUUCUGCAAUGAAAUACCUAUAAAUGUCAUUUUCUGUCACAUCAAUUAAACCCUAUUUUAUAGCUUAUGACGGAGAGGGGGAACCGAUGGGCCAUGAGUUCACUGAGUGUCUUUGAUCUCUUACGCAGAGCCAGUAAAGAAGACAGCCUUUUAAAAACAUCACAUGAGGACAAGAUGGUGCGGUCUCCCUCUUCUAACAGGUUUCACUGCCUGGUUCACGUCAGCGUCAUCCCCAGAUUGGAUGUGGCUAAAGUGCAACAUGAGAUGGACACGGACCUAAAUAACAGCUACUGUCACCCCAGUGGUCAGCUGUAUUUGGAGGCUGAUCUGGACAGCAUACACACCACACCUAUUGAAAGGUUCUCCGCUGUUACCACCGGUCCUCCUGUGGUGACAGAUCUGUCUCCAGUCACAACCACCACAUUUAAAACAACAGC
rnacentral:lncRNA from 1 species